rnacentral:rRNA from 1 species
GACGAACGCUGGCGGCGUGCCUAACACAUGCAAGUCGAACGAGAUCCAUGGGAGCUUGCUCCCGGAAGAUCUAGUGGCGAACGGGUGAGUAACACGUGAGAAACCUGCCCUGGAGUGGGGAAUAACUCGGGGAAACUCGAGCUAAUACCGCAUACCCUCGGAUGGUCGCAUGGCCGACCGAGGAAAGAUUUAUCGCUCUAGGAGGGUCUCGCGGCCUAUCAGCUAGUUGGUGGGUAACGGCCUACCAAGGCAACGACGGGUAGCUGGUUUGAGAGAACGAUCAGCCACACUGGGACUGAGACACGGCCCAGACUCCUACGGGAGGCAGCAGUGGGGAAUCUUGCGCAAUGGGCGAAAGCCUGACGCAGCAACGCCGCGUGCGGGAUGACGGCCUUCGUGGUUGUAAACCGCUUUCAGCAGGGACGAAAAUAGACGGUACCUGCAGAAGAAGCCCCGGCGUAACUACGUGCCAGCAGCCGCGGUAAU